rnacentral:rRNA from 1 species
UGCCUCAGUAACGGCGAGUGAAGCGGCAAAAGCUCAAAUUUGAAAUCCUUCGGGAGUUGUAAUUUGUAGGUUGGGAGACCCCGCGGCUAGUGGCACCAAGUCCCUUGGAACAGGGCGCCUUAGAGGGUGAGAGCCCCGUAGGUACCACAACACCGUCUUGUGUCUCCUCUCCAAAGAGUCGAGUUGUUUGGGAAUGCAGCUCAAAGUGGGUGGUAAAUUCCAUCUAAAGCUAAAUACCGGCGAGAGACCGAUAGCGAACAAGUACAGUGAUGGAAAGAUGAAAAGCACUUUGAAAAGAGAGUGAAACAGUACGUGAAAUUGUUGAAAGGGAAGGGCUUGCAAGCAGACACGGCCUUCGUGCCGGGCCAGCAUCGGUUGCUAGGGGUGGAUAAGGAACAAGGAAUGUAGCUCCUCGGAGUAUUAUAGCCUUGCGCGAUACACCCACUGGCGACCGAGGCCUGCGGUAUUCUUUACCUAGGAUGCUGGCGUAAUGGUUGCAAGCCGCCCGUCUUGAA